rnacentral:rRNA from 1 species
UACGUAGGGGGCUAGCGUUGUCCGGAUUUAUUGGGCGUAAAGAGCGUGUAGGCGGCCAGGUAGGUCUGCUGUGAAAACUCGAGGCUCAACCUCGAGACGUCGGCGGAAACCAUCUGGCUAGAGUCCGGAAGAGGAGAGUGGAAUUCCUGGUGUAGCGGUGAAAUGCGCAGAUAUCAGGAAGAACACCCGUGGCGAAGGCAGCUCGCUGGGACGUUACUGACACUAAGGCGCGAAAGCGUGGGGAGCGAACAGG